GAGGAGACCGCGGAAGGAGAGAGAAGAAGAAAUGUGGCGUGGGAGAGAGGUCUGUGAGGGAGAGGUGAUAUCGAGUAUGAGCGGGGCGUAUGGAGGAGACUAGGUCGCGGGAGGAAAGAAAAGAAGGAGUGCGGUGUGUGUGAGUGCGAUCUGUGAGGGACAGAGAUAUUGUGUGUAAGCGGGGGUGUAUGGAGGAGGCUAGGCCGUGGG
rnacentral:lncRNA from 1 species